rnacentral:rRNA from 1 species
GGUUCAAGUGCGUAGGCUUGAGAGUUAGGUAAAUCCGGCUCUCUCUAAGGCUGAGACACGACGUCGAGCUGCUACGGCAGUGAAGUCAUUGAUGCCAUGCUUCCAGGAAAAGCCUCUAAGCUUCAGAUAGUCAGGAAUCGUACCCCAAACCGACACAGGUGGUCGGGUAGAGAAUACCAAGGCGCUUGAGAGAACUCGGGUGAAGGAACUAGGCAAAAUGGUACCGUAACUUCGGGAGAAGGUACGCUCUUGAUGGUGAAGUCCCUCGCGGAUGGAGCUGACGAGAGUCGCAGAUACCAGGUGGCUGCAACUGUUUAUUAAAAACACAGCACUGUGCAAAAUCGCAAGAUGACGUAUACGGUGUGACGCCUGCCCGGUGCCGGAAGGUUAAUUGAUGGGGUUAGCGCAAGCGAAGCUCUUGAUCGAAGCCCCGGUAAACGGCGGCCGUAACUAUAACGGUCCUAAGGUAGCGAAAUUCCUUGUCGGGUAAGUUCCGACCUGCACGAAUGGCGUAAUGAUGGCCACGCUGUCUCCACCCGAGACUCAGUGAAAUUGAAAUCGCUGUGAAGAUGCAGUGUACCCGCGGCUAGACGGAAAGACCCCGUGAACCUUUACUACAGCUUGGCACUGAACAUUGAACCUACAUGUGUAGGAUAGGUGGGAGGCUUUGAAGACGUGACGCCAGUUGCGUUGGAGCCGUCCUUGAAAUACCACCCUUGUAUGUUUGAUGUUCUAACUUAGACCCGUUAUCCGGGUUGAGGACAGUGCCUGGUGGGUAGUUUGACUGGGGCGGUCUCCUCCCAAAGAGUAACGGAGGAGCACGAAGGUGGGCUAAUCACGGUUGGACAUCGUGAGGUUAGUGCAAUGGCAUAAGCCCGCUUAACUGCGAGAAUGACGGUUCGAGCAGGUGCGAAAGCAGGUCAUAGUGAUCCGGUGGUUCUGUAUGGAAGGGCCAUCGCUCAACGGAUAAAAGGUACUCCGGGGAUAACAGGCUGAUACCGCCCAAGAGUUCAUAUCGACGGCGGUGUUUGGCACCUCGAUGUCGGCUCAUCACAUCCUGGGGCUGAAGUCGGUCCCAAGGGUAUGGCUGUUCGCCAUUUAAAGUGGUACGCGAGCUGGGUUUAGAACGUCGUGAGACAGUUCGGUCCCUAUCUGCCGUGGGCGUUGGAAGAUUGAAGGGGGCUGCUCCUAGUACGAGAGGACCGGAGUGGACGAACCUCUGGUGUUCGGGUUGUGUCGCCAGACGCAUUGCCCGGUAGCUAAGUUCGGAAUUGAUAAGCGCUGAAAGCAUCUAAGCGCGAAGCGAGCCCUGAGAUGAGUCUUCCCUGAUACUUUAAGUAUCCUAAAGGGUUGUUCGAGACUAGAACGUUGAUAGGCAGGGUGUGUAAGCGUUGUGAGGCGUUGAGCUAACCUGUACUAAUUGCCCGUGAGGCUUAACCAU